UACCUGGUUGAUCCUACCAGUAGCAUAUGCUUGUCUCAAAGAUUAAGCCAGGCAUGUCUAAGUACGCACAGCUGGCACAGUGAAACUGCGAAUGGCUCAUUAAAUCAGUUAUGGUUCCUUUGGUCGCUUGCUCCUCUCCUAC
rnacentral:ncRNA from 1 species